rnacentral:lncRNA from 1 species
AAAUUUUGGCCGGGCAUUGUGGCUCAUGCCUGGAAUCCCAGCACUUUGGGAGGUCAAAGCAGGCAGAUGACCUGAGGUCAGGAGUUUGAGACCAGCCUGGCCAACAUGGUGAAACCCUGUCUCUACUAAAAAUACAAAAAUUAGCCGGGCGUGGUGGCACAUGCCUGUAGUUCCAGCUACUUGGGAGGCUGAGGCAGGAGAAUUGCGUGUACCUGGGAGGCAGAGAUUGCAGUAAGGCGAGAUGGCGUCAUUGCACUCCAGCCUGGGCAACAACAGCAAAACUCCGUCUCAGAAAAGAAAAAAGAAAAUAUAAAUUUCUAGUCCUUCUGACACAAUUAUGCAAAAAGAGUAGAGGUUGUUACACAAUAAUAAACCUGCUCUUUCACAUGUAAUUGCCAAUGAUAAGACAACAGAACCAGACCAUUUUAUCCAGAGCUUCGUUAUAGCUUGCCUUUGGAUAUAAGUCCUACGACUAUAGAAGACGUGGCAAAUUAAUAUACACGAACGUGGCCGAUUUCUCUGAAUGAGUUAGCUAUAUGUUCAAAAAAUUUUACUGAUUCACCUAGGAAAAACUAUUCUGUGAGUAGAUACAAUCUGUUUGUUUUCCAGGGCCACAUAGCUUUAUGUGAGUGUAUACACCCAAAUACAAUUAAAAACCAAUAAUCCUGGCCUCAGCUCGGUUAUUUUUAAAUCAUGAACAAAUUAAAAUUUGAAUUGGAGCUGAUUGAGCCUCCAUGAUUGUCUGUGGGGACUCACUGUUUCAUAAACCCCCAGUUCACCAAAUGAAUAUAUAAAACAGUCUCUGCCAUGUUGACAGGAACUAAAGGAGGCCCAUUGAAGUAUUAGGGGAAAAGGCCGAUGCGUGCGCUUUCUUGUCCUGAAGCCGCCAUCUUGGCUGCUAAGAGGCGGAACCAGGAGAAACAUGUGGCCCAUAACACAAUCACUUCCUGGGGAGGUAGAAAGAUGGCUCUGCUGAGAUGAGCUCUUAAUUAAUGCACUGAGAGCCUGCGAGUCCCACCUCUCAACAGGAAUGAUUGACGUCCAAGGAUACAUAAAUUACACUAAUUGAGCUCUGCCUCUAUAUAGGCUUUCCACAGCCAACUCAUCAGAGAAGCUAGGUGAGUAGACCAGCAUCAA